UACGAGGGGGGCAAGCGUUGUUCGGAAUUAUUGGGCGUAAAGGGAGCGUAGGCGGUUUUGUAAGUCGUGUGUGAAAUCUUCGGGCUCAACCCGAAGCCUGCACACGAAACUGCAGGGCUUGAGUAUGGGAGAGGGGAGUGGAAUUCCUGGUGUAGCGGUGAAAUGCGUAGAUAUCAGGAGGAACACCUGUGGCGAAAGCGGCUCACUGGACCAUUACUGACGCUGAGGCUCGAAAGCUAGGGGAGCAAACAGG
rnacentral:rRNA from 1 species